CUCUGCCUCUCUCUCUCUCUCUCUCUGCCUUUCUCUCUCUCUGCCUCUCUCAAUGAAGUUACAGAGAAAUGAACAGCCCGCUCUUUGCUGGGUCCUAAAGCUAGUACCCUCAUAGAGCAGUAUGGCAAUAACCCUUCCUACCUACCUCUAACUGCAAAAAGGUCUGCAAUAACCCUUCCUACCUACCUCUAACUGCAAAAAGGUCUGCAAUAACCCUUCCUACCUACCUCUAACUGCAAAAAGGUCUGCAAUAACCCUUCCUACCUACCUCUAACUGCAAAAAGGUCUGCAAUAACCCUUCCUACCUACCUCUAACUGCAAAAAGGUCUGCAAUAACCCUUCCUACCUACCUCUAACUGCAAAAAGGUCUGCAAUAACCCUUCCUACCUACCUCUAACUGCAAAAAGGUCUGCAAUAACCCUUCCUACCUAUCUCUAACUGCAAAAAGGUCUGCAAUAACCCUUCCUACCUACCUCUAACUGCAAAAAGGUCUGCAAUAACCCUUCCUACCUACCUCUAACUGCAAAAAGGUCUGCAAUAACCCUUCCUACCUACCUCUAACUGCAAAAAGGUCUGCAAUAACCCUUCCUACCUACCUCUAACUGCAAAAAGGUCUGAGUCUUGGUGGCACAGAUGGUUGCGGUGCAGAAGUACAACAUACAUAUACACACACAUAUUCAUUCAUUGAUUGAUCGAUUGACAGUCACAUACACAUGAAAACAUCAUUUUAUUGGAAUAAAUGAUACAUGAUGUAACUGUAAAUAGCUAUGAAAAGGAGAUAGUUACAGAAUGCAUCCCUGUAUUGAGCACGUUUUCAGCCCAGGAGUAGGAUCAAUACGUGUUUAUCUGCAACCUACGUGUUGUGACUGGAUACGUCUUCAUAACUGCAAACAACUGUAGUCUAGAACUGUAUGUUAACCAAGCUGCACACUUCUCAUUUCAUGUCCGCAAAUACAAACUGUAUUUAAUGUUUGUUUAUGCAAUGUUCCAAGAUGAAUACGUAUUCAUAAUUCAACUAUUAUCCCCGUGUGUAAGCAAUAGUGUUCCCUCUAUCACAACGCUACAGCAGGUACGUCUAGCAUGUGUUUGUUUUCCUGACAGUGAAUACAUCCAGUCUGUAGCCUAUCGUUGUGUGAAUAAUUAGCAUAUCUGGUGGAGCAAAAAUCCUUCUUUUGUACUGUACAUUCACAAUGUGAAGCAAUGUUUUCAUUCUCCGAAAAAUCAUUUCACGAUGUCAUUGGAACACAGGUAUGAUGUCAUUAAAAUAUAGGUAUGAUGUCAUUAAAAUAUAGGUAUGAUGUCAUUAAAAUAUAGGUAUGAUGUCAUUAAAAGAUG